UACACCCACUGCUGCAGCUGCCCUGUCCUAACUCCCUGGGAUGCCUCUUCUCCAGGGAUCACGCUCCCUCCUGCCUCUCUCCCCUCUUCCCUACUAGUCGGCUAUAGAGGCUGGGGGUGACAGGACUGAGAAGAGCCAUGCCUGUGACAGCCACAAUCCGUUAACUCAAGGAGAUUGUUUCUUUCUGAAUGAGGCUUUGGAAUGCUUCGUUUUAUGUUAAUCAACGAUUCUUGGCUUCAUGAUUCUUGGCUUCACAUUAGGAGAACCUCUUCAGUUCAGUUCAAUUCAGUCGCUCAGUCGUGUCCGACUCUUUGCAAUCCCAUGAACUGCAGCGC
ensembl:lncRNA